rnacentral:rRNA from 1 species
GGAUGAACGCUAGCGGCAGGCUUAACACAUGCAAGUCGAGGGGUAACAGAGGAAAGCUUGCUUUCUUGCUGACGACCGGCGCACGGGUGCGUAACACGUAUGCAACCUACCCUUCACAGGAGGACAGCCCCGAGAAAUCGGGAUUAAUACUCCAUAACAUCACAGAUUCGCAUGUUUCUGUGAUCAAAGUUCCGGCGGUAAAGGAUGGGCAUGCGGCCUAUUAGUUUGUUGGUGAGGUAACGGCUCACCAAGACUUCGAUAGGUAGGGGUUCUGAGAGGAUGAUCCCCCACACUGGUACUGAGACACGGACCAGACUCCUACGGGAGGCAGCAGUGAGGAAUAUUGGGCAAUGGAGGCAACUCUGACCCAGCCAUGCCGCGUGCAGGAAGACGGCCCUACGGGUUGUAAACUGCUUUCAUUUGGGAAGAAACCCUAUUACGUGUAAUAGGCUGACGGUAACAAACGAAUAAGCACCGGCUAACUCCGUGCCAGCAGCCGCGGUAAUACGGAGGGUGCAAGCGUUAUCCGGAUUUAUUGGGUUUAAAGGGUCCGUAGGCGGACUAUUAAGUCAGUGGUGAAAUCUUUCGGCUCAACCGGAAAACUGCCAUUGAAACUGAUAGUCUUGAAUAUGAUUGAAGUGGGCGGUAUAUGGCAUGUAGCGGGGGUGAAUGCUUAGAUAUGCCAUAGAACACCGAUAGCGAAGGCAGCUCACUAAGCCAUUAUUGACGCUAAGGGACGAAAGCGUGGGGAGCGAACAGGAUUAGAUACCCUGGUAGUCCACGCUGUAAACGAUGAUCACUCGAUCUUGGCGACAAUCAGUGUCUAAGCGAAAGUGAUAAGUGAUCCACCUGGGGAGUACGAUCGCAAGGUUGAAACUCAAAGGAAUUGACGGGGGCCCGCACAAGCGGUGGAGCAUGUGGUUUAAUUCGAUGAUACGCGAGGAACCUUACCAGGGCUUAAAUGCAGAACGACCGGCGUGGAAACAUGCCUUUCUUCGGACGGACUGCAAGGUGCUGCAUGGUCGUCGUCAGCUCGUGCCGUGAGGUGUCGGGUUAAGUCCCAUAACGAGCGCAACCCCUAUCUUUAGUUGCCAGCGGGUAAUGCCGGGGACUCUAGAGAAACUGCCAGCGUAAGCUGAGAGGAAGGUGGGGAUGACGUCAGAUCAUCACGGCCCUUACGUCCUGGGCUACACACGUGCUACAAUGGCGGAUACAGAGGGCAGCCACCCCGCGAGGGGGAGCGAAUCUCCAAAGCCGGUCUCAGUUCGGAUCGGAGUCUGCAACUCGACUCCGUGAAGUUGAAAUCGCUAGUAAUCGCGUAUCAGCCAUGACGCGGUGAAUACGUUCCCGGGCCUUGUACACACCGCCCGUCAAGCCAUGGAAGAUGGGAGUGCCUGAAGUCAGUUUCCGUAAGGAGCGCCUAGGGUAAAACCAAUGACUGGGGU